rnacentral:rRNA from 1 species
CCUACGUGUGGCAGCAGUGGGGAAUAUUGCGCAAUGGGCGAAAGCCUGACGCAGCGACGCCGCGUGAAGGAUGAAGGUCUUCGGAUCGGAAAGCUCUAUCAGCAGGGAAGAAAAUGACGGGACCUGAGUAAGAAGCACCGGGUAAAGACGUGCCAGCAGCCGCGGUAAUAAGUAGGGGGCAAGCGUUAACCGGAUUUACUGGGUGAAAAGGGAGCGGAGACGGCAGUGCAAGUCUGGAGUGAAAGGCGGGGGCUCAACCCCCGGACUGCUCUGGACACUGUACGGCUUGAGGGCAGGAGAGGUAAGUUGAAUUCCUAGUGUAGCGGUGAAAUGCGUAGAUAUUAGGAGGAACACCAGUGGCGAAGGCGGCUUACUGGACUGUAACUGACGUUGAGGCUCGAAAGCGUGGGGAGCAAACAGGAUUAGAUACCCUAGUAGUC